AAUCAUUGUGCUCUCAAAAACCUAAGCACUGUUACUCAUUUUCAGUACAAAUUUUGUUUUUAGGUUGGAAUGUUGACGUGAAUAUCUGUAUGAUUCAUAUGACUUCUCAAAAGUACCCCUUCUUGAUCAUUAUUAUCAUUGCAUAGCUGUUUGCAUUGAAUCAUCUUAAUAAGUGAUCAUGAGUAUGCAGCUGUUAUCCAGUGUAUAUUCUG
rnacentral:misc_RNA from 1 species